UUGGAACCAGCAAGCAUGAUGGGUUAAAUAGAACCCUAGUCCAGCAGUAAUAUAAGCUCAAGGAAAAUCCUCCAUAGCUUACAUGUGUAGCAAAUCCAUUCAGCAUUUUUCUAAGACUUUUUCCAGGAAAUCUUAGCCAUUAAAAUCAUCCCUUUAAUAUUACAGUUCUGAUUGGAACCAAAGAUUAAUAGCUACCCAAAGCAAAGAGCUUUUUUAGUAAAGACUGAGUUAAAAUAAACAUUAAGUUAGCAAACACUCCUCUCCUCAGCACAAGCACUACUUUGAGUGGUGUUCCUAUAUCUUUUUGUCCUUUAAAAUUAACAAGAUUCUGCAAAUAGUAGCUCGUAUGAAUUGUUCACAACUUUUUACUGAAAUAAUAAAUCAAUUAGAAUGGUGUUCCUAAAAAAAAACUUUCAUGAGAGAAAUAUGCUUUAUUUUCUUCCUGCAAUUAGAAAAAUUGAAAUUGAGAAGGGAUUUCCCUAGACCACAGGGGAAAAACAUGUGCCUCCAAAGAGAUUAAAAUAAACUUCCAUCUCGCAAUUUAGUGUUCAUCUCAGUGAAGCAUAUUGUGGAUAAUAAAAUUUUUCAAAUGCGGCAGAUGUGGUUAUGGGAUGAUGACAUAGCCAAGUCUUCAUUUGCCAUGUCAACAUUAAGGUAGCAGAACUUCUGAGAUGGAAAUGUCAGACGCAGAUGAAAUGGUGACUCAGAAGGCAGAAAUUCAAAAAAUGGACUUCUAGUAAAUUUCGUCAAACUGCCUGAGGCACUUCCCCAUCUGUAUGUGCAACAUGCAUUCAGCUAUUGUAAAGUUUCUCUAACAGUCUUGGGAAGUGCUAUGACAGUAACAAGGAAGAUUGAUAGCAGAUUCCAUGCCUCUUUGUUAAUCACAUUAAGAACGCUGCUUUGUACUGUCGCAUGUUGUGUCUGGAAAAAUAUAUGCCCACCACACCAUAUUGAAAACUUUCAUCCUAUUACCCAUCUGCUGCCAGUAAAUGAUCAGUUUAAAUGCAAAAAUGGGUGAUGGGGGUGUGAAACUCAAAGAUUUUCCAAGCACACCAUUUUUCUAGCCCUAUUUUCCUAAUCACCUUUGGGAAAUGCAAGAACCUAACGCAUACCACAUUUUCAAAUGUUUCCUUAGGGGAUUUGAAUCAUAUUUUAUGUAACUCAAGUUAUGUGAUAAUGACAAGCAUAUCUCCAAACGUUAAAACCGGUAAUUUUAAACAUAUACAUUUGGCAUAGUGACUGUUACUUGUUUCUUUAUCAGAGUUUAUGGUGAAACUCAGUACUAGAAUCUGAGGUUUAUGAAAACAUGAUUCCCUCCAUUUAGCUGGAGGAGUUUCUCAUACUGAUUGAUCAGUUCCCAACCCCUACAGUCAGAUAAAUAAAAAAAGCCCUUAGAGUUGUAGCAAGAGGAACAACUAGUCGUGAGUACAUUUCUUCAGUUGGGGAGAUAAAAUUUAUUUCUUCAAUUACUUUGUGAACAUCUGCAUGUUAUAAAAAGGAAUGUGUAUUAAUACAAUUAACUAAACAGUUUGUCUUUUAAUUGCAUUCAUUGAUUAAUUUCUAAGUAUUAUUAUUAUUAUCUUUCUUUUUGAGAGAGACAGAGAAAGAAUGCAUGCACCUAGAGCAGGGGUAGAGGGAGAGGGAGAGAGAGAAUUGUAAGCAGUUUCAAUGUCCAGCACUGAGCUGAAAUCAAGAGUCGAUUACUCAACCGACUGAGCCACUCAGGUGCCCCUAUUUUUCUAAGUAUUAUAAUCAGUUUUUCUUCAGUGUCAGAUAUUAAGGGCAAUACUAAACUUAUUUACUUAUAUAAAGAGAUUAUUUGGAUAAUAGAUUUUUUCAGUGCUUUUGAAAAUAAUAGAUAAUGAUAACAUAAUUCUCUAACAAGCACUAAUGCAAUAACAAUUAGUCAUAUCAAUAAAUUGUUCAUCAGAAAUAUUUCGCAAAGACUAGGUUUAUAUUUAAGUUGGAGGCAAAAUCUUUGAAUUUUCAGUACAGACUAUUACCAGUCUUCAUCUCUUCUAACAGAGAUGUAUGUACUAUCAGAAUAUUUAAUUAAUUUAAACCAGCCUAAUUUAAAUUUGGAUGGGAGGAAAACAUCAG
rnacentral:lncRNA from 1 species